rnacentral:rRNA from 1 species
CUUGAUCAAUUAUAAGAGGUCAAGCCUGCCCAGUGACAUUGUUCAACGGCCGCGGUAUCCUAACCGUGCGAAGGUAGCGUAAUCACUUGCCCUUUAAAUAAGGACUAGUAUGAACGGCUUCACGAAGGCUAUACUGUCUCCUUAAUCUAAUCAAUUAAACUAAUCUCCCCGUGAAGAAGCGGGGAUUCGUCUAUAAGACGAGAAGACCCUAUGGAGCUUUAAACAUCUAAGACACUUGAUUAUAUCUACUAAACUUCAUGCAACCUAUCAUUUUGUCUUAAGUUUUAGGUUGGGGUGACCACGGAGAAAAAUUAAACCUCCACGUAGAAAGAAAAUUCUUUUCUAAGCAAAAAGCCACAUCUUAACGCAUCAAUAUAUUGACUUAAAUUGACCCAAUUUCUUGCUCAACGAAC